rnacentral:rRNA from 1 species
CUUAAAUGAAUUGACGGGGGCCCGCACAAGCGGAGGAACAUUGUGGUUUAAUUCGAUGAUACGCGAGGAACCUUACCUGGGCUUAAAUGUAGAGCGACAGAUCGGGAAACUGGUCCUUCUUCGGACGAUCUACAAGGUGCUGCAUGGUUGUCGUCAGCUCGUGCCGUGAGGUGUCGGGUUAAGUCCCAUAACGAGCGCAACCCUUAUCGUUAGUUGCCAGCGGGUAAUGCCGGGGGACUCUAACGAAACUGCCGGUGUAAACCGUGAGGAAGGUGGGGAUGACGUCAAAUCAGCACGGCCCUUAUGUCCAGGGCGACACACGUGUUACAAUGGCCGGUACAGAGGGCAGCUACCUGGUGACAGGAUGCAAAUCUCCAAAACCGGUCUCAGUUCGGAUCGAAGUCUGCAACUCGACUUCGUGAAGCUGGAUUCGCUAGUAAUCGCGCAUCAGCCAUGGCCGCGGUCCGAAUACGUUCCGGGCCUU